GGACUACAGGGGUUUCUAAUCCUGUUUGCUCCCCACGCUUUCGUGUCUCAGUGUCAGUUACAGGCCAGUGAGCCGCCUUCGCCACUGGUGUUCCUCCCAAUAUCUACGAAUUUUACCUCUACACUGGGAAUUCCACUCACCUCUCCUGUACUCAAGCUUAGUAGUCUCAAAAGCAAUUCCCAGGUUGAGCCUGGGGAUUUCACUCCUGACGUACUAAGCCACCUACACACCCUUUACGCCCAGUAAUUCCGAACAACGCUAGCCCCCUUCGUAUUACCGCGGCUGCUGGCAC
rnacentral:rRNA from 1 species